UGAUUUUUCAUCGGCAAGAAGAGAACGAAAUUGUAAAAAAAGGGAAUAGAAUCUGCUAAUCUCUUCCUCUGGUCUUCCUCGCUUCCUUCUCCGCAUCACUCGCGCUCCAAUUUCAUAAUACCUUUCUCCAUCUCUCCUUCUUGUUCUAGCGUCACAACUUGAGGAAAAAGAAUCUACAAAUCUUCAGAUUUCAGUUUUAAUCGGAAUGUCUUCGUCCGGUGGUAACUCUGGCGACGGAGCUGGCGGUGGCGCCGCCUCGCAGGGCCAUCAGCUCUAUUUCUGCUAUACGUGCAAUCGUACGGUAACAAUUGCUCACUCAUCCUCCUCCGAUCUUUUGUGCCCCAACUGCAACGACAGCUUUGUUGAAGAAAUGGAAACUCCAAACCCUAACCCUAGCCCUGUUCCCAAUCCUUUCGUUUCCUUCACAUCCGAGGCAUUUCCUCCGUUCAGUACCGGGGGUGGUGGAAAUGGCGGUUUCCCGAUCAUAUUUUCCACGUCAUCGUCUUCCGGUGGCAUUGGUGGUGGCGGUUCUAUGGUGAAUGAUCUCUCGGCGCUGUUGGGAGGCGGUUCUUUUCGAUCGUCGUCCUUGCAAGACCCUGACGGUUUUAAUCCCUUGCUCUUCCUCCAGAACUAUCUUCAAAGCGCUAAUGUUCAAUUGGUAAUCCAAAACGCCUCGGGAGAGGCGUUUCAUCCCUCUUCCAAUUUCAAUCUUGGCGACUACUUCUUCGGCCCCGGCCUUGAGCAGCUGAUUCAACAGCUUGCUGAAAACGAUCCGAACCGUUAUGGAACCCCUCCUGCCUCGAAGUCGGCGAUUGAGGCACUUCCAAAUAUCAAAAUUACGGAGGAAUUGCUGGCGUCGGAUUCUUCACAGUGUGCUGUGUGUAAGGACACAUUUGAGCUCAACGAAGAGGCGAAACAGAUGCCUUGUAAACACAUAUAUCAUGCAGAUUGUAUCAUUCCUUGGCUGGAAUUGCAUAAUUCUUGUCCAGUGUGUCGAUAUGAAUUGCCCACAGAUGAUCCCGAUUACGAGCAAAGGACUCGCGGGACUUCAGCUCCUAAUCGAAGUCAAAGCGAAAGUCAACUCUUCGGCGAUUCUUCUACUGGUGGGGAAAAUUUUGGUGGAAACGAUCCGAAUUCUGGCGAGAAUUCACAGACGCAACAAAUGGCUGAUCGGAGGGUGAGAAGGAUUGCUUUUCCUUGGCCAUUCAGAGGUUUUGGUCCAGCUGCUGAAACUAGCGACAGUGGAGGUGGGAACAACAGCGGAAAUAGCGACGAUCCUAGCUCCAGAAAUAGGGGAAGCCAGAACUCUUCAGAGCCUAUGGAGGAAGAUCUUGAUUGAGGAUUACUGAAUGGUCCCCCUACCCCAGCUUCUCUAUUCCUUGGUAUGAUUUUGAUAUCGCUGGCAUGAGGAACCUCAAUGGUUCAGAAGCCCUUGGUUUCGGUUUCAGUCGACAAGUUGAUAACCUCCUUGAGAAAUUUUUGCAUGAGCACUUUUUACACAACUCAUAACUGCCAAAUAUUAGAAGGUCUGCAAGUGAUUUGAAUCUGGAAACCAUUAAUGAAUAUAGAAAACAUCCUUAUAUGUUAAUUAUUAGAGUUUGUCCAUUUAUGAAAUUCGCCUACAAUAAUCCAUAGGUAAAGGGUUCGAGCUCAGAAUUCUUUGUAGAUUAAGGAAGUUAUGUGCAUUAUUUUGUUUGCAAAGGUCUAUAAAUCUUUUGCGUCUCUGAAUUGAAAUGUUGUAUGCUUCCCAUGUGAAUUUGCUGCACUUACUCUUGUUUUGGUCCCAAUAAAAAAUGUAUGCUAUUCAAUGGUUUAUCAA